rnacentral:lncRNA from 1 species
GGGAGAUCCUCAGAAAAUAUAUGACUUCAGAAUAGAAAAGCUGUAGAGAUCCUUUUUUUCUCUGUCUCUCCUGCACAUUGACUUCCUUCUGAGCAGAUAAACCUCUGUUAGUGGUUCAUAGGCUACACGAUGGGAGGAAGAUGUCCACAACAACAAAGGGUUAUUUUUCUCUCCUGUUCCAUCUCUGUUUCAGGCCAGUGAGGGGUCUACUCCACAUUGUCCUCAUGCAGGGCCCUGGGCUGCUGGAGUCUCCACCAUGUGGCAUGAGAGAGGAAGGGAGCACGGUAUAUAAGAAUUGGCUCUUAAAGCUUCCACGUAGAUAGAGUGAUAUUUUUACAGCACUGGAAGCAAAAUGCGAGUCAAAAUUUACAGCGAAGUUGUGAAACAGGAGAUAAACCUGUACGGAGAUGAGCCUUGGAAAGAUUAAGAAGCUCACUCAAGGACACUGCUAGACAAGCGCAGAGUCAAGAUUUCAACCCAGCACUGCAGGCCUGCAAACCUGUGCCGUCCCCACGACAUCGCCCUGCCUCCUCAAGGCAGCUGGAGAAACAGAUCAGACUCCUGUGCAGAUUUUCUUCUGUU